rnacentral:sRNA from 1 species
AUCACCCCUAGGGUUUCCUUGCAUACCAGUAAGUCGGCCCGCGCACGUUGCGCGGGUUGAGUCUUUUCUAUCCCAAGAGGUGAUUUACAUGUCUGAUCGUCAGAUCGGUACCGUCAAGUGGUUCAACGAUGCCAAGGGUUUCGGCUUCAUCAGCCGUGACAACGGCCCGGAUGUCUUCGUGCAUUUCCGCGCGAUCCAGGGCAACGGCUUCAAGAGCCUGCAGGAAGGCCAGAAGGUCUCGUUCAAGGUCGUGCAAGGCCAGAAGGGCCUGCAGGCUGAUGAAGUGAUUCCGCAGUAAAAAGCGUUAUUCAUAACGCAAAUAAAAAGCCAGGCAGCAAUGCCUGGCUUUUUUA